rnacentral:rRNA from 1 species
CAACUUUCAACAACGGAUCUCUUGGCUCUCGCAUCGAUGAAGAACGCAGCGAAAUGCGAUAAGUAAUGUGAAUUGCAGAAUUCAGUGAAUCAUCGAAUCUUUGAACGCACCUUGCGCCCCUUGGUAUUCCGAGGGGCAUGCCUGUUUGAGUGUCUU